ensembl:lncRNA
GUUACUUAUCUAGAUGAUAUUGUGUUACUUAUCUAGAUGGUAGUGUGUUACUUAUCUAGAUGAUAUUGUGUUACUUAUCUAGAUGAUAUUGUGUUACUUAUCUAGAUGAUAGUGUGUUUCUUAUCUAGAUGAUAGUGUGUUACUUAUCUAGAUGAUAGUGUGUUACUUAUCUAGAUGAUAUUGUGUUACUUAUCUAGAUGUGUGUUACUUAUCUAGAUGGUAGUGUGUUACUUAUCUAGAUGAUAUUGUGUUACUUAUCUAGAUGAUAUUGUUUUAUCUAGAUGAUAGUGUGUUACUUAUCUAGAUAUUGUGUUACUUAUCUAGAUGAUAUUGUGUUACUUAUCUAGAUGGUAGUGUGUUACUUAUCUAGAUGGUACCCAACUCUUCAGGGUAUAGAUUUGUGAGAAUGUUAAGGCAGGGAGAGAAAAAAAGGAAAACCGCUCACUGAAAGGUCAGAACACUUUUUUGUUUGUUUGUCCUACAACAUUUUUGAAGAAAUGUCUAGGAAACGUGACUGUGCCUUUGUAGACAAAAAGACUCAGAGAAACAGGCGGUGUUUUAUACAAGCUUUAUUACAACUUGGUUAACAGCUGUACAUGUCAGAGCGUAGGAAGCACAUUUUAUCAACAAGUUUCAAAUGGACAGGUAACUAUGACCACUAAUGUCCUCCUCCACUGUUUGUUAGUCCCAUACAGUGUGUACAUAUUAUACAAGCAGCAAUAUAAAACUUGGCAAAUGGAAAGGUUUUUUGCUACUUUAUUUUUUAAUGUAAAAUAAGUCUUUCCUAUGAAUAAAAAAUACAGCAACCAUAAAACCUGGCGAUUAAGUUCUGACUGAAAAGCCUCAGUUCUUUAAACUGUAUUUUCUCCUAGAGGUUUUUUUAGCCUCUAGGAAAACCAGAUUGAACGCUACGCUCACAAUUGUUUGAAACAUUCAGUCUGGUGUAACUAUGCUAGAGGUUUAUUGUCCUGUGUAGAACACUGGCCUGGUCCCAGAUCACUUGUCAAGACAGCACACACUGAUCUGGGACCAGGCCAGGAGACUAACCGAUCUGGGACCAGGCCAGGAGACUAAGAUCUGGGACCAGGCCAGAAGACUAACCAAUCUGGGACCAGGCCAGGAGACUAACCAAUCUGGGACCAGGCCAGGAGACUAACCGAUCUGGGACCAGGCCAGGAGAAGAUCUGGGACCAGGCCAGGAGACUAACCGAUCUCUGGGACCGAUCUGGGACCAGGCCAGGAGACUAACCGAUCUGGGACCAGGCCAGGAGACUAACCAUCUGGGACCAGGCCAGACUAACCGAUCUGGGACCAGGCCAGGAGACCAACCGAUCUGGGACCAGGCCAGGAGACUAACCGAUCUGGGACCAGGCCAGGAGACUAACCGAUCUGGGACCAGGCCAGGAGACUAACCGAUCUGGGACCAGGCCAGGAGACUAACCGAUUUGGGACCAGGCCAGGAGACUAACUGAUCUGGGACCAUGCCAGGAGACCAACCGAUCUGGGACACAAGUAGUAACACGUUGCCCUACCAAUCAUAUCACCACAUGUCAGGAGACUAGUAUUUAACACAAGUAGAGACACGUUGCCCUACCAAUCAUAUCACCACAUGUCAGGAGACUAGUAUUUAACACAAGUAGUAACAGCCAUACAAAGUUCAUCAGUUACAUAAUAAUAUGGACACAUCCUUUUAUUAUAAACUGAAAAAAACACAGUAUCAGCAACAAGUCAAUAAGUCUAGUCUUACUCACACCGGUUUGGUUUUUACACUCGAGGCGAAAGCACUUUCAACAUGUUCAUGAUAUAACAUGAUAGGAAAGAUCCUCUUUGACUUCUACCCGUCUGUCCAUUGGUUAGUGGUCCAUUAGUGACGCAGCGGGUCUAGAGGCAUCGCUACAGACCCGGGUUCGAUCCCGGGCCCAGUGUCGUCCGGGCUAGGGGAAGGUUUGAACAGGGUAGGCCGUCAUUGUAAAUAAGAAUUGUUCUUGCUUAGUUCAAUAAAGGUUCAAUAAAAAAUGAAAACGUGUGUUUGUUCUCGUACUAAAAUGAAUGUUUUAUACUGGACAGGUGGAGGUAGAACAUCCCCAUUUCAGUCCGUUUUCUAACGUUUGGUGCCUAAUGAACAUGACCCGGGACAGGGCAGUCUUACUACGUGGGCCAUCUGCUAAUGAACCACGACCCGGGACAGGGCAGUCUUACUACGUGGGCCAUCUGCUAAUGAACCACGACCCGGGACAGGGCAGUCUUACUGCGUGAGCCAUCUGCUAAUGAACCACGACCCGGGACAGGGCAGUCUUACUGCGUGAGCCAUCUGCUAAUGAACUACGACCCGGGACAGGGCAGUCUUACUGCGUGGGCCAUCUGCUAAUGAACCACGACCCGGGACAGGGCAGUCUUACUGCGUCGGCCAUCUGCUAAUGAACCACGACCCGGGACAGGGCAGUCUUACUGCGUCCGCCAUCUGCUAAUGAACCACGACCCGGGACAGGGCAGUCUUACUGCGUCGGCCAUCUGCUAAUGAACCACGACCCGGGACAGGGCAGUCUUACUGCGUCCGCCAUCUGCUAAUGAACCACGACCCGGGACAGGGCAGUCUUACUGCGUCCGCCAUCUGCUAAUGAACCACGACCCGGGACAGGGCAGUCUUACUGCGUCGGCCAUCUUGCUGUAUUUUUUCAAAAAGGCUCUGCCAUGGCAUCCUAUCAACAAGCCUACUUGUUUUAUAAAAAGGUUAGAGAAAGGUUUUACACAUUUUAUACAAUGUAGGAAAUGUAUGAAUCUAAGUCAAUACUGCAUAUGUAUGCAUGAAUCUAAGUCAAUACUGCAUAUGUAAGGCGAAUAAAAACAGGAAUACAUAUCAAAGUCAUAAAGGCUAGAUAGAAGCAUGUGAUCUCUUCUACCAAUUUAAAGAGAGAGAAACACAUCGAGGUUAUUAUCAGUGAAAUAAAGAAGCAGAGCACUCCUUACAUAGAGAAGUCAUCAGAACACUUAAACGGAAAUACAUGGAAACUGAACAUCUAGACUGAGUGUAGAAAACAUUAAGAACACCUGCUCUUUCCGUGACAUAGAGCCCCCCAACUCAACUCUGGAACAGUUUGAAUCCAGGUCUGAUUUAGACAUGGGACACCAGGGCCUGAUUUAGACAUGGGACACCAGGGUCUGGUUUAGACAUGGGACACCAGGGCCUGAUUUUGACAUGGGACACCAGGGUCUGAUUUAGACAUGGGACACCAGGGUCUGAUUUAGACAUGGGACACCAGGGUCUGAUUUAGACAUGGGACACCAGGGCCUGAUUUAGACAUGGGACACCAGGGUCUGAUUUUGACAUGGGACACCAGGGCCUGAUUUAGACAUGGGACACCGGUGCCUGGUUUAGACAUGGGACACCAGGGUCUGGUUUAGACAUGGGACACCAGGGCCUGAUUUAGACAUGGGACACCGGGGCCUGGUUUAGACAUGGGACACCGGGGCCUGAUGGGACACCAGGGCCUUAGACAUGGGACACCGGGGCCUGAUUUAGACAUGGGACACCGGGGUCUGAUUUAGACAUGGGACACCGGGGUCUGAUUUAGACAUGGGACACCAGGGUCUGAUUUAGACAUGGGACACCAGGGCCUGAUUUUGACAUGGGACACCAGGGCCUGAUUUAGACAUGGGACACCAGGGCCUGAUUUAGACAUGGGACACCGGGUAGAUGAAGGGGAGGAGACAGGUUACAGAAGGAUUUUUAAGCCUUGAGACAAUUGAGACAUGUAUUGUGUAUGUGUGCCAUUCAGAGGGUGAAAUGGACGAGACAAAAUAUUGAAGUUCCUUUGAACAUUAGUAGGUGCCAGACGCACCGGUUUGAGUCGUGAACUUUAACCCUGCUGGGUUUUUCACUCUCAACAGUUUCCCGUGUGGAUCAAGAAUGGUUCACCACCCAAAAGACAUCCAGCCAACUUGGAACAACAGUGGGAAGUAUUGGAGUUAACAUGGACCAGCAUCCCUGUGGAACGGCUUCGACACCUUGUAGAGUCCAGAGUCUAAUGUUUUGUACACUCAGUAUAUACACAUUUGAUUAGAGGAUCAUGUGAAAUAAAUGAUGAUAUUGCUCUUUUCCUCUCAGACCCAGUGAAACACAAAGAGAGAGAAGUGGGUGGAACACCCAACAGAUACACACCAGGUUUACAGUACAGUGUUGCUAGUCGCUUGAUCAUCGUCAUUGUCAAAGUCUACAGAAAACCAUCCGGUCACUAAGAAUAACACUGUCUUCCAUGUAGUCCUCGCUUUGCACCACACAUUUAGAACAAGAGGUUUCUUUGACCUUGGACACAGCAUGAAGAAUCUUUCAAAUGUUUUUGUUUUGUUUAUCCCCAGCCCUAGCUCCAGCUCUCCCCGUUACCCCACCAGAGACGACUGUUGUUGUCUCAGAGUAUGUCAUGACGAUAGAGGUUCGCAAGCAGAUGCAGGUCUGUGAAGGAAGGAGGAGGAGGAGGGGGGCGGUAGGUUAGGGUGGCCUCUGAGAGGGCGGCGCCGUCUCGGUCUGUAGAGAGCCCUUACCCCCCCCAGUCCUGGGCAUAAUCUGGGCCCGCCCGCCCGGCCCGUCCUCCGUUAGAGUUGAGGGUUAGUGUUGAAUUGAUGAAGGGUUAUUUUCAGCUCGACUCAUUAUUAAGCCAUGGUCAUGCACCCGCCCAUCACCCCUGCCUGCGCUGGUCAUGUAAUGUCAUCACUGUGGAGAGGAGGGAAAAGAGAAGAGGAGGGAGAGAGAGAAGGAGGGAGAGAGAGAGAGGAGGGAAAAGAGAGGAGUCGAGAGAGAGAGAGAGAGAGGAGGCGAGAGAGAGAGAGAGAGAGAGACAACAACAACCAGUAAGAGGUUUGGUUAUAAUGAUACAGCAGAUCAUGAUCAAAACGGUCUGAUAGAGGGUGAAUGAAGGAGGGGUUCAAAGCCAUGAACAGUUCUCAACUACCACAGAUCUUUCACCAGAAUAUAGACACAUUUGAUGUGCCACUAGAAACCACUAAACAGUCAUGUUGCCGCCCUGUAGGUUUACAUCUAUCUAGUCCAGGGCUCUCCAACCCUGUUCCUGGAGAGAUACCCUCCUCUAGGUUUACAUCUAUCUAGUCCAGGGCUCUCCAACCCUGUUCCUGGAGAGAUACCCUCCUCUAGGUUUACAUCUAUCUAGUCCAGGGCUCUCCAACCCUGUUCCUGGAGAGAUACCAUCCUCUAGGUUUACAUCUAUCUAGUCCAGGGUUCUCCAACCCUGUUCCUGGAAAGAUACCCUCCUCUAGGUUUACAUCUAUCUAGAACAGGGCUCUCCAACCCUGUUCCUGGAGAGAUACCCUCCUGUAGGUUUACAUCUAUCUAGUCCAGGGCUCUCCAACCCUGUUCCUGCAGAGAUACCAUCCUGUAGGUUUACAUCUAUCUAGACCAUUGGCUCUCCAACCCUGUUCCUGGAGAGAUACCAUCCUGUAGGUUUACAUCUAUCUAGUCCAGGGCUCUCCAACCCUGUUCCUGGAGAGAUACCAAAGUUUAUAACCACCUCCCUGUGAAGUUUAUAAUCAUCUUCCCUGUAAAGUUUAUAAACCUCCUCCCUGUAAAGUUUAUAAUCGUCCUCCCUGUAAAGUUUAUAACCCUCCUCCCUAUAUAGUUUAUAAUCCACCUCCCUGUAAAGUUUAUAAUCCACCUCACUGUAAAGUUUAUAAUCCACCUCACUGUAAAGUUUAUAAUCCACCUCCCUGUAUAGUUUAUAAUCCACCUCCCUAUAUAGUUUAUAAUCCACCUC